rnacentral:rRNA from 1 species
AUUGAACGCUGGCGGCAUGCCUUACACGUGCAAGUCGAACGGCAGCACGGGAGCAAUCCUGGUGGCGAGUGGCGAACGGGUGAGUAAUAUAUCGGAACGUGCCCGGUCGUGGGGGAUAACGUAGCGAAAGCUACGCUAAUACCGCAUACGAUCUACGGAUGAAAGCGGGGGAUCGCAAGACCUCGCGCGAUUGGAGCGGCCGAUAUCAGAUUAGGUAGUUGGUGAGGUAAAGGCUCACCAAGCCGACGAUCUGUAGCUGGUCUGAGAGGACGACCAGCCACACUGGGACUGAGACACGGCCCAGACUCCUACGGGAGGCAGCAGUGGGGAAUUUUGGACAAUGGGCGCAAGCCUGAUCCAGCAAUGCCGCGUGCAGGAUGAAGGCCUUC